rnacentral:rRNA from 1 species
CUUGGUCAUUUAGAGGAAGUAAAAGUCGUAACAAGGUUUCCGUAGGUGAACCUGCGGAAGGAUCAUUAGUGAAUUGAAUAUGUUAGCGGACCUCUUCGGAGUCCCUAGCAUCAAAUCAUAUCCAUAACACCUGUGAACUGUAAGGCUGUCUUGAAAACGAAAGUGAUUAGAGCGCCUGCCCAUUUUAUACAAACAUUAAAGUAACAAACGUAGUCUUAUUAUAAUCUAAUAAAACUUUCAACAACGGAUCUCUUGGCUCUCGCAUCGAUGAAGAACGCAGCGAAAUGCGAUAAGUAAUGUGAAUUGCAGAAUUCAGUGAAUCAUCGGAUCUUUGAACGCAUAUUGCGCUCUUUGGUAUUCCGAAGAGCAUGCUUGUUUGAGUAUCAGUAAACACCUCAAAGCUUUUGGAUUUUUUUUGAAAGCUUUGGACUUGAGCAAUCCCAACGCCAAUCUUUUUCAGAUCGGCGGCGGGUUGCUUGAAAUGCAGGUGCAGCUGGACUUUCUCCUGAGCUAAAAGCAUAUUCAUUUAGUCCCGUCAAACGGAUUAUUACUUUUGCUGCAGCUAACAUAAAGGGAGUUCGACCGUAUUGGCUGACUGAUGCAGGAUUUUACAAGGGUCGGCAACGAUUCUUGUUAAACUCGAUCUCAAAUUAAGUAAGACUACCCGCUGAACUUAAGCAUAUCAAUAAGCGGAGGA